UGGGGAAUAUUGGGCAAUGGGCGAAAGCCUGACCCAGCAACGCCACGUGAAGGAAGAAGGCCUUCGGGUUGUAAACUUCUUUUACCAGGGACGAAGGACGUGACGGUACCUGGAGAAAAAGCAACGGCUAACUACGUGCC
rnacentral:rRNA from 1 species